UUCUCGGGGAUACCUUGGCCGGGGCAUCCAACCGAGUCCGCCAAGGCUGUUAAAGAAAAGUUCAUAUACGCAUAAAACACAUUUUUACGUUUAAAAGCAUAGCCGUUCCUUGGCGUUGGUCGAGUUCACCCUCACGUGGUGGUUUAGCGUGUAGUGAACUCUAAAGCUUUACCUUAGGAGAUACCCUCUGUGUCUCUCAUACCGAGGUAAAAUAUAACCGGGUUUACCGUGCCUCUCUUUGAUAGGCUGGUCCACGGAAACCCACCACUACAGUGACUAAUCAAUAUCCCACCAAAUCAAUAAAAGUUUCGACAGCAUGACAUGGCAAUUAUAUUACCACCCAACCUGUUAAGGCAAAACAAACAGUUCAUGCAAUUUCAACACAAUUUCCAAUUCAGCCAUUCAUGCCAAUAUCACCAUAAGCCAUUCAAUUCAAACCAUAAAUUUACAACACAAUCAAACAGUCUCCAAUUACUCAAUUUCUAAAAUCAUCAUUCAAAUUCAAAAUGUUUUAUAAAACUCAUUUCAUUUAAUCACAUUUUACUUAUAAAACAUAAGGAUUUACCAUUUAAACUCAUUUUUCUAUAAAAUCACAAAAACGAAUAAAAACUACUUUAGAUAAUUAAGACGAUAAUAAGGUUACUCACAAUAUCGGGAGUCGAAGUACUCCUAGUCCCGGUCUUCGGGUACAAUCUCCUUACCCUUAUCGAAAGUUUCACCACCUAAACAUAAUGCACAACAAGCAAUUUACUAUAUUUGUACUAAACCGUUAUAAAACUAAUUUAGGCUCUAUAUGAAUGCAUGAAAUGGGAUGCGAAAUGUUCGGAUUAUUAUCUAAAUAUGGUGUUCUACGUAGCUUCAAUUAUGUAUCGAAAUAAAAUGGUAUUGGCCUAAUUCGAUCUAUACACCGGUUAAUUGGCCAAUACAUCCAAUUCAACUUCAAUUAACUUGAUUCCACUUCCAACACUCCAAGUCAUCAAUUACAAGUUAAAUAAUAUGUAAUAUCACAAAAAUCCAUCAUCAAUAUCUUCCUUGUAAAAUUCGGCCAUUGAAGGUUUAGUGUAGAACAUGUAAUUUUCAUGCUUGAUUUUUACGCCUUACAUCAUAAAACAACUAAAAACACCUAAAUAGCAUGAAAUUCAUCAAAGUCCAUUAUCCAAUUUCUCUCUUGAAAAUUUCAGCCAAGGAGUGUGGGUGAAGGGCAUGAAAUUUCUUGCUUGUUUUUCAUGCUAAACAUCACCAAACAACUAAAAACACUAAGAUACCUUGAAAUCUAACCAAAUAAAUCAUCAAAUCUUCUCUCCCUAAAUUCGGUCAGCCAUGAAUCCUUCAUGAGAUCUUGAAUUUUAACCAUGGUAAUUGAAAAAGAAUGCAUAGGAAAGGUAGAUCACAAGCUAGAAUUAAGAAAUUUUACCUUUACUUGCUUAAUUCCUUGAAAUCCAAUGAAUUUUCUCUUGAUUUUCUUCUCUAGGGUUUGUUCUAUGCUUUUUCCCUUUUGUUCUUGCCUUGGCCGGCC
rnacentral:lncRNA from 1 species